GUCCAACCAAUCUUCCAAGUCUUCGUACAAGUCACCGAGGAAUACUGGCGGCUGGUGCGGUUGGCUGAUGAACACUUGUGCUCGUGUUACCAGGCUAGUCAUAGUGGCAGCGUCCAUCGUUUGACUUCCCCUUGGUGUGAAGUGGAGAGGACUGAACUCAGCAGAUCGCAGACACUGGCUUGUUAAGGUCCUGUGAUGCAUCGGUCGCACACACUCGCACAUCCAUCCUCAUCAUUACUUGGAGCACCUGUACAAAAGUAGGAAGGACGCGUGCUCCCUAACUGUGCAAGUCUAUGUCACUGCUGGGACUGCUAUCAUUCAGCGGACCUGGAUGUGGCCUGGAAGCAUGCAUGGCAGCCUCAUCUGGAAGGACUGCGAUCUGCUUGGGAGCUUCGAGGGCACAAAACUGCCUAAUCGCUGGCUGCAAGCAGAAGUGCGAUGCUGCCAGCACACAUGCAAGCCAAGUCUUGGAGCGCUCUUUUGGUGUUCUGUGCAGGACACAGCAUAUCCAUCUUGCAAGACACUGGUAUCAACAAUAAUGUUGAGUGUUGGUGGCACCUGUAGGAGCCCAUUGUGUUUGUUGCAUAUUAUUUUCCCUGAUGAAGACAAUUUUUGAAAGCUUUUCUUUCGUUUGGAAUAAUAGAUGUCAGCAACAAGCACACUGAUAAUCCACAAGUGCUUUGUGUCUUCUAGACCGCCCAUUUGCUCCUAUAUGCAGUAUGGUGAGCUGGCUUUGUUAGACAGCCUUAAAGUUAUGAACAUUGGCUGUUGUGUUGUAAUGCAGUCUAACUUCUGUUUCUUAGUAAACUUAUUUGUGGUCUACUUCUCGCACCUAGUUUCAAGUCAAAACAGAAGAAACUUUGAUGGCUUAUUAUGCUUGGCAUAAGUUUCAUGCCUUCAUCUAUAACAUUGUAGUUUUGCUCUUGUAUCAUAAUAAAAUAUAUUUUCAGUCUUCUCUGUGUGUGCGCGUGUGGAGGCUUGUCAUGGGCUUCUGAAAAUAUGACAUCUCUAAAUAUGAGCCCAUAUUUAACAACUGUACACUCUUGCAUGUAGCAUGGUUGUAACAAUGAUCUGAAUUUUCUUACAUUCCAGCAGUAACAAGGAAUCUGGUGCUUCACAGUCAUGUACAGUGUAUCAAGAACAGAGCACAAAAGAUCAACAAGUAGAAAGGAACUUUCAGUGACUGUUCUCCUGCUCAAAGUUUACGACAGUAGAAAGAGCACAUUCUAAUGCCAGGAGCAGUUUGAAUUGUAUGUGCAGUAACAUUCUGAGCAGCUGCAGCGUAACUUCUUAGCAGCGCAUUAUUCGGCAGUUCCUUUGCUUGCAUUCUAAAUUACUUAAAUUUUGCAUGGAAUAUACCAAACUAUGACACUAAUUUAAAGGCAUUUCCGAUGGAGGCGGAAAUGUUGUAGGCCCGUGUACUCAGAUUUGGGUGCACGUUAAAGAACCCCAGGUGGUCAAAAUUUCCGGAGCCCUCCACUACGGCGUCUCUCAUAAUCAAAUUGUGGUUUUGGGACGUUAAACCCCACAAAUCAAUCAAUCAAUCACUAAUUUAAAGGCUGCUGUUGUGUUAGUGGACACAUAAUUUUGAGCUGAAGUUUUUAACAUGUGUGUUAAUCAAAGUGCCCAUGUGUCUCUACAUUUAACUGCCAUAAAUCACAGCACCCAUGGUUGGCAAUGGUAACUGUGUUUGGAUUCUUUCUAGUAGAAGAUGUAAAGCCAUGAAUGCGGUAAUCUUGUACUUAGUCGAUUGUAAUCCUUCACUGUACACUUAUUUGUAUAGCACCAAUGAUGCCAUGAGUGUAUAAGCUCUGGUAACUAAAUCUAUGUGGAUUGUAUUAUUUGAAAGGAAGAGGAUCAUUACUACUCCUAGUAUAUCCUAAGAGUAGAUUUUAGUGCUUGUGUAUUGUUAUCUCUCUGCCUUCUCCGUGCUUCAACAGUCUAUUUUAAUGUUUCUAGUGUGUAAGUGGAGCUUUUUAAUGUAUACUUUGCUCGGAUAGGUUUGUUCAUAUGUAAUUGUGUACUAUGCAAGUGACGUAUCAUCUAUAUAGCUUUACUCACACUAGAAAGGAAAGUAUAUAUUUUAAUUCAUACGUAGCUGUAGCAUGCAUUUACUUAUCUUUUUCUAGGUGCCUGUACAAUUGUUUAGCCCUGCAAUGGUACUGGUCUACUCUAAUAUUGAAGCUGGCAUCUUAAAAUAGUUGGUUAUUGAAAGUAACAACGUGUUUACAAAUAUUAUUACUAUCCUCUUUGAAAAUUUAUUUACAUUUUUUGAACUGUGGGAAGGUAAAUGUUGUUAUGUUCUUUUAUUGUGGUCCCUGUUUCAUGCAUAUGACACAUAAUUACUUUGAAGCGGCAUAGAAUUAGUUGUUAUUUUACACAUAUAUAUUGAGGAACAUCGAAUUUAAGGCCAGAAGCAAAACAUACACGCAGUGCACUGGAGCAUCACCUCACAUUAUAAGUGUACAGUCUUUGCCCACCAGUGAACUGAAUUUUUUUCAAGCAGACUGACAGACAGCUGUAUGGGAAAUGUGUUGAUGUGCAAUAUUUGAAGUUUUUUUUGAGGAGUGUUUUCGGGGAACGAAAUAGGGUCUAUAGCUGUCAAUAUAAACACUGUUUGCAUCAAGGAGCGUAGUAGCUUAGAAUUGUAUUAGUCAUGUAUUGUCUGGAUUUUUUUGCGAUGUGCUGCUUUUCAGCCCAAGUAUUCUAACGUGCUUUGUUACUGUGUUGUGAAUGAGCCAAGCUAUGUAAAUAAACAGGGUAUUAUUGCCGA